GUGUUCUUAAGAAAAUCUUAGCUCAAAAUUUAAUGAAAAACCAUGCUUAAUGUUAAGAAACGGGGCUUAGUUAAGCCUCAAAAUUAAAGCUAAGAACUGUCCACGUGUCAAGUUUUGGCCCGUGUUUUAUUUUCUCUGAGAUUUCUUUCAUCUCUCUUUCUCUCCCCCUCUCCCUCCCUUUCACGAAACAAAGACGAUUUCAUCUCUCCGACGGCUUGAUUCGUCGAAUUGAGAGUAGCUCUUGGGAGGAAUUUCGUGUAUGAGCAAUCGUUAUCUCUACUCUCCGUUGUCGUCUCACUCUCCGUCAAAUUCUCGCAACUUCCGCCGGAGAAAUCUCUGCCACUCAGCUUCCUUCGUCGAAUUGAGAGGUGAAAUGAGUGGGGAUUGCAUUUUUGAUCCUUCUGUAUCAUCAUCUGCAGGAGAAAUGGUUUGGUCUCUCUGUCAAGCAUCGGAUAACUUGUGUUUGUUUAAUUUUCGUAAGUAUCGGAACCAAAGCUAAAAUGAAUGAAUGAUUGUACAUCUUCUACUCCUUUCUAUGAAUGUAUAAAAAUACUUGUAUAUAUGGUUUCUUGUAGUGAAAGACAUCUAAAUACAAAAUUUGAAUUUUUUUUGAA